UUAAGAGCUUGCUCUUAUGAAGUUAGCGGCGGACGGGUGAGUAACACGUGGGUAACCUGCCCAUAAGACUGGGAUAACUCCGGGAAACCGGGGCUAAUACCGGAUAACAUUUUGAACUGCAUGGUUCGAAAUUGAAAGGCGGCUUCGGCUGUCACUUAUGGAUGGACCCGCGUCGCAUUAGCUAGUUGGUGAGGUAACGGCUCACCAAGGCAACGAUGCGUAGCCGACCUGAGAGGGUGAUCGGCCACACUGGGACUGAGACACGGCCCAAACUCCUACGGGAGGCAGCAGUAGGGAAUCUUCCGCAAUGGACGAAAGUCUGACGGAGCAACGCCGCGUGAGUGAUGAAGGCUUUCGGGUCGUAAAACUCUGUUGUUAGGGAAGAACAAGUGCUAGUUGAAUAAGCUGGCACCUUGACGG
rnacentral:rRNA from 1 species